ACGGCUCAGUAACACGUAGCUAACCUACGCUUAAGUCAUGGAUAAUCUCGGGAAACUGAGGGUAAAACAUGAUAGGAGAUGUACCCUGGAAUGAUGCAUCUCUUAAACUCGUGCUUAAGAAUGGGGCUGCGGCGGAUUAGGUCUGUUGGCGGGGUAAUGGCCCACCAAGCCGAAGAUCCGUAAGGGCUCUUAGCGGAGAGGCCCUGAGAGGGAGUCUGAGACACUACUCCCAGCCCUACGGGGUGCAGCAGUUAGGAAUAUUCUGCAAUGUGCGCAAGCAUGACAGAUUGAGCCAGAGUGCUUUUCAAUUGAAAAGCUUUUGUGAAAUGCAAAAAGUUUUGCGAAUAAGGACUGGGUAAGACGAGUGCCAGCCGCCGCGGUAAUACUCGCGGUCCAAGUCGCAGACAUCAUUAUUGGGUCUAAAACAUCCGUAGCUUGCUUGAUAAGUCCCUUGUGAAAUUCUGUAUCUAAAAUGCAGAGCGUGCAAGGGGUACUGUUAAGCUAGAGACUGGAAGACGUAAGAAGUAUGUUCGGAGUAGCGGUAAAAUGUGUUAAUCCCGGACAGACUAACAAGAGCGAAGGCAUCUUACGAGGACAGUUCUGACAGUAAGGGAUGAAAGCUAGGGGCGCAAAACGGAUUAGAUACCCGUGUAGUCCUAGCAGUAAACACUGCACACUAAACAUUAGUACCUCCUCGAGAGGUGUUAGUGCUGAAGGGAAGCCGAAGAGUGUGCUACCUGGGAAGUAUAGUCGCAAGGCCGAAACUUAAAGGAAUUGGCGGGGGAGA
rnacentral:rRNA from 1 species